rnacentral:rRNA from 1 species
UGGGGAAUAUUGGACAAUGGGGGCAACCCUGAUCCAGCCAUGCCGCGUGAGUGAUGAAGGCCUUCGGGUUGUAAUGCUCUUUUGGCGGGGACGAUGAUGACGGUACCCGCAGAAUAAGCCCCGGCUAACUUCGUGCCAGCAGCCGCGGUAAGACGAAGGGGGCAAGCGUUGUUCGGAAUUACUGGGCGUAAAGGGCGCGUAGGCGGUUUGCUUAGUCAGGCGUGAAAGCCCUGGGCUUAACCUGGGAUGUGCGCUUGAUACUGGCAGGCUUGAGUGUGGGAGAGGUUGGUGGAAUUCCCAGUGUAGAGGUGAAAUUCGUAGAUAUUGGGAAGAACACCGGUGGCGAAGGCGGCCAACUGGACCACAACUGACGCUGAGGCGCGAAAGCGUGGGGAGCAAACA